rnacentral:rRNA from 1 species
GAUGAACGCUGGCGGCGUGCUUAACACAUGCAAGUCGAACGAAGCACUUUAUUUGAUUUCCUUCGGGACUGAUUAUUUUGUGACUGAGUGGCGGACGGGUGAGUAACGCGUGGGUAACCUGCCUUGUACAGGGGGAUAACAGUUGGAAACGGCUGCUAAUACCGCAUAAGCGCACAGCAUCGCAUGAUGCAGUGUGAAAAACUCCGGUGGUAUAAGAUGGACCCGCGUUGGAUUAGCUAGUUGGUGAGGUAACGGCCCACCAAGGCGACGAUCCAUAGCCGACCUGAGAGGGUGACCGGCCACAUUGGGACUGAGACACGGCCCAAACUCCUACGGGAGGCAGCAGUGGGGAAUAUUGCACAAUGGGCGAAAGCCUGAUGCAGCGACGCCGCGUGAGCGAAGAAGUAUUUCGGGAUGUAAAGCUCUAUCAGCAGGGAAGAUAAUGACGGUACCUGACGAAGAAGCACCGGCUAAAUACGUG